rnacentral:rRNA from 1 species
UACGUAGGGCGCAAGCGUUGUCCGGAAUUAUUGGGCGUAAAGAGCUCGUAGGCGGCUUGUCACGUCGGGUGUGAAAGCCCAGGGCUCAACCUUGGAAUUGCCUUUGAUACUGGCUGUCUUGAGUUCGGGAGAGGUGAGUGGAAUGCCGAGUGUAGAGGUGAAAUUCGUAGAUAUCAAGCGGAACACCGGUGGCGAAGGCGGCCUUCUGGACAGUGACUGACGCUGAGACGCGAAAGCGUGGGGAGCAAACAGG